UACGGGGGGGGCAAGCGUUGUUCGGAAUCACUGGGCGUAAAGGGCUCGUAGGCGGCCUACUAAGUCGGAUGUGAAAUCCCCAGGCUUAACCUGGGAACUGCAUCCGAUACUGGAUGGCUUGAAUCCGGGAGAGGGAUGCAGAAUUCCAGGUGUAGCGGUGAAAUGCGUAGAUAUCUGGAGGAAUACCGGUGGCGAAGGCGGCAUCCUGGACCGGCAUUGACGCUGAUGAGCGAAAGCUAGGGGAGCGAACAGG
rnacentral:rRNA from 1 species